AAGCAGCAUAAAGCCAGCAGGAGGGUCAAGGCACAGUGGGAUCUCCAAACAGCAUUGCCUGCUAAUCCUGUGUGGAUAAAAGACUGACCCCCAGCUCGGAAGCAGUGCGAGUUCACCAGAGUUUACAGAAGCAAAUCAGGAUGAGAAGCUGGCCUCUGUCAGAGCCUUUUCAGACUCACUUCUAAGACUCCAAAACCUCCCAGGAAGCAGAAGAGCAAAGGAAGGCCAAGACGGGAGAAUGAGUGAUGUCAGCAGAGCUUCCAGCCUUCCAUGGAUCUUCCUCUCACCCCAAACCCCAGGAGAAAAUUCAGAGACUGAUUUUAGGAAACCAUGGACCCCAGAGAAAGAGAAUUGAACAGAAGACAUGGAAACACUUGUAUGAGAGAGAGGAACUUUGGCCCCGCUGAAGGAGAAAGUGAAACAGAAAGGAAGCCGAGGGGUGGAGUUGCUGC